rnacentral:rRNA from 1 species
GGUUAAAAGCUCGUAGUUGGAUUUCUGUCGAAGACGGUCGGUCCGCUCUACGAGCGUGUAUCAGAUUCGGCUUUGGCAUCCUCGUGGGGGACGUAACUGUGCUUGAUUGCAUGGUGCGGAAUUCACGACUUUUACUUUGAGGAAAUUAGAGUGUUCACGGCAGGCAAGCGCCUUGAAUAUAUUAGCAUGGAAUAAUAAUAUAGGACUUUGGUUCUAUUUUGUUGGUUUCUAGGACUAAAGUAAUGAUUAAUAGGGAUAAUUGGGGGCAUUUGUAUUAGCGCGUCGGAGGUGGAAUUC